CCUACGGGUGGCAGCAGUGAGGAAUAUUGGUCAAUGGUCGUAAGACUGAACCAGCCAAGUAGCGUGAAGGAUGACGGCCCUAUGGGUUGUAAACUGCUUUUAUGAGGGGAUAAAACGCGACACGUGUGAUCUUUUGCAGGUACUGUAUGAAUAAGGACCGGCUAAUUCCGUGCCAGCAGCCGCGGUAAUACGGAGGAUCCGGGCGUUAUCCGGAUUUAUUGGGUGUAAAGGGAGCGUAGGUGGGAUGUUAAGCGAGUUGUGAAAGGUCGUGGCUCAACCAUAAAACUGCAUUGGAUACUGGCAUUCUUGAGUGCAGUGGAGGUAGGCGGAAUUCGUGGUGUAGCGGUGAAAUGCUUAGAUAUCACGAAGAACCCCGAUUGCGAAGGCAGCUUACUAAACUGUGACUGACGCUGAGGCUCGAAAGCGCGGGUAUCAAACAGGAUUAGAUACCCCUGUAGUC
rnacentral:rRNA from 1 species